rfam:Schistosoma mattheei strain Denwood, Zambia genome assembly, scaffold: SMTD_scaffold0013009
AUCUAGCUGACAAGUUUCAAAUAGGAUGAAACGUGUGUCCUGGAU